UGGGGAAUAUUGGACAAUGGGCGAAAGCCUGAUCCAGCCAUGCCGCAUGUGUGAAGAAGGUCUUCGGAUUGUAAAGCACUUUAAGUUGGGAGGAAGGGCAUUAACCUAAUACGUUAGUGUUUUGACGUUACCGACAGAAUAAGCACCGGCUAACUCUGUGCCAGCAGCCGCGGUAAUACAGAGGGUGCAAGCGUUAAUCGGAAUUACUGGGCGUAAAGCGCGCGUAGGUUGUUUGUUAAGUUGGAUGUGAAAUCCCCGGUCUCAACCUGGGAACUGCAUUCAAAACUGACUGACUAGAGUAUGGUAGAGUGUGGUGGAAUUUCCUGUGUAGCGGUGAAAUGCGUAGAUAUAGGAAGGAACACCAGUGGCGAAGGCGACCACCUGGACUAAUACUGACACUGAGGUGCGAAAGCGUGGGGAGCAAACA
rnacentral:rRNA from 1 species